rnacentral:rRNA from 1 species
AGUGAACGCUGGCGGUAGGCCUAACACAUGCAAGUCGAACGGCAGCACAGGAGAGCUUGCUCUCUGGGUGGCGAGUGGCGGACGGGUGAGGAAUACAUCGGAAUCUACUUUUUCGUGGGGGAUAACGUAGGGAAACUUACGCUAAUACCGCAUACGACCUACGGGUGAAAGCAGGGGAUCUUCGGACCUUGCGCGAUUGAAUGAGCCGAUGUCGGAUUAGCUAGUUGGCGGGGUAAAGGCCCACCAAGGCGACGAUCCGUAGCUGGUCUGAGAGGAUGAUCAGCCACGCUGGACCUGAGACACGGUCCAGACUCCUACGGGAGGCAGCAGUGGGGAAUAUUGGACAAUGGGCGCAAGCCUGAUCCAGCCAUACCGCGUGGGUGAAGAAGGCCUUCGGGUUGUAAAGCCCUUUUGUUGGGAAAGAAAUCCAGCUGGUUAAUACCCGGUUGGGAUGACGGUACCCAAAGAAUAAGCACCGGCUAACUUCGUGCCAGCAGCCGCCGUAA